AUUUCGUUCUUUGUAGAUGUUCAUCCCGCAGAAAUAAUUCACAAUUAAAUAGUUACGAAAUAGCAAUAAAAUACAUUCCACUGCUGCAACAUUGCAACUUUAUCAUAGACGACUGAGUUUAUAAAACAAAACACUUCUUAUGUGUUCAGACUAGUUGGAGAAAUAAUUGGCCUCUAAAACUAAUAUUAAUUUCCAGUCAGAGCAAGCUCGAUACUUACAGCGAAACUAAAAAUCAACCUAUCAGUCAUUAUAGCUAAUUAAAUAUACAUUUUUACGUUUCUUAUAAUAAAGAUUAGUAUGAUUUAUCCCACCAGUUGGAUACACUCCCUGUUAAUGAUAUUUUCGACAGUAAUCCUGAUAAUAUCUCAUGAGAAUCGGCCAGUUUCGAAGAUUUAUGUUAUUCCUAAAUACACUUAAUAUAAAAUUAUAAUGAUACUCAAUAAAUCAAAGCAAAUGUAAUGAUUAAUGAAAGUAGCAAUAAAUAAAUGAUAUGCUGUUGUAACAUUGUUCUUUCGUUGGUGGGUUCCAUUAAACCAUCUGAGGAAAAUAAUUCAAAGUACAGAGCACGAUAACAAGUCACUUUAUUUCUUCUUUCACAUUUCUACAAGCUUGAACACUUGUACACUGUUGUAGCUUUUUGUAGGUCUACUUUUAUAAACGAUGCUAAGUGCGCCCUAUUAACGUAAAAAUAAACUUACUUGUACAAAAUAUGCGCAAUAUUUAACACAGAUCCAAAUACUCCACUAAAAACGAAAACGCAUUCUACCGUAGAGAAACAACUCUUUAUCUUCAUAACCAACAUGAAAUAACUCCACCAUCUUGUAUUUGUAACGUACCCUCCAAUGUAGUAGAAAACCUAACAUCAGAUCCCUAGAACUUUCUAGGCCUAAUUUCCCACCAUCAUUAGUUCCCUCUAGCUAAAAAACAAAUAAUAACCAGAUGUGUGUUCCCAGGUUCUCUAUUUAUCACUGAUAAUAACCAGGUAUGUGUUCCCAGGUUUACUGAUAAUAACUAGGUAUGUGUUUCUAGGUUCACUGAUAAUAACGAAGUGUGUGUUCCCAGGUUCUCUAUUUAUCACUGAUAAUAACUAGGUGUGUGUUCCCAGGUUCACUGAUAAUAACUAGGUAUGUGUUUCCAGGUUCACUGAUAAUAACGAGGCGUGUGUUCCCAGGUUCACUGAUAAUAACCAGAUGUGUGUUCCCAGGUUCACUGAUAAUAACUAGGUAUCUGUUCCCAGGUUCACUGAUAAUAACCAGAUGUGUGUUCCCAGGUUCACUGAUAAUAACUAGGUAUGUGUUCCCAGGUUCACUGAUAAUAACCAGAUGUGUGUUCCCAGGUUAUAGCAUGGUACUGUAGUGUGUAAACAUCUAAAGUGUUCGAUUUUAUAAAGUUUUAUAUAGAGUACAGAUCAAUCAUGAGUCGCUUUGUUAAGUUCCUGAUGUACUGAAUAUCAACAGUUCUGGAAAAGAACAUGUAGAAUAUAAAUGUAGAAUAAUCACGUAUCAUGGUA